CCUGGAGGAGAUGUUGGAAACCGGUGAGCCCAGAAUGGAGCCAUCUCAGAGCCCAACCUGGUCCUGCUCCAGCCACUCUGUUGGGUGGCGCAAGCAUCCCUGCACCAAACAGCGAUGGAUUCACCUCACAGAGGGGAAGAUUUAGUUGCAAGCCUUGCAGCUUUGGUGAUGAUUAUUUCAGCUCUUCCUCUUCUUGGCCAGAUGGAGAAACUCGAGAAGGCCCCAGCUCUACAAAGCAGGAGGCAAGAGGGGAGGACUCAGCUCAGGCUGCCUGGCUGAGUGAUGGAUGCAUCGCACGGACAGCUUUAUAUGGCACUCAUCACAUGGAGGUCCUGAUUGCUUCCCAGUGCUAAUGAAGAUCUCCUGUAAUGGGCAUGCAAGACUAAUGCAUCGUGGCACUUCGAUUACAAGAAACAGCUCCUCCUGCCCCAUCUCCUGGAGGUGAAAGCCUGUGACCACAUCAAGGAAAGGCUCAGUGGCUGCCUGGGCUGGAUGUGGCCCAUUUAUAUGCCAGCAGCCGUGCCUGGGGUCCCUGACUGUCCCCUGGGGAGGACACGGGGUACCCAUCCCCACACUGUGGUACAUCUCCCCAUCAGCGUCUCUGAAGGGGCAGCAUUUCUGUUUGUGCUCCUGUCUUUAACAACUUAAAAGAAGAAUAAGAAGAUGGAAAUUGCAAAGCUGCUGGACCAGAACACGGUGUGUGCAGCCAGAAGUCAGUGCCUCCAUGUGCUACGGCCACGGACGCUGUGUGAGAGAAUGGGAGAACAUGAUCAGCAGCUAUUGUGAGAGUAAUGAAAAGAGCCUUUCAACACAGGCGUGGAAGCACACUGGGGAAAAAAACCCUCUAUUUAUUUAUAUUGAUAACCCUAUUAAAAUUGCUUCCCACAAAUGAUCUGUGACUGGCACUGCCUUGCCCGGUAUCCGCAAUAAUCAAAUCCCGGUAAGGCAAUUUAGCAAGUUGUGGUGGAUUUUUUUUCCUUCCAAGAGAAAAGAGUGGCUUGUUCUUUUAUUCCAGCAGCCUGGCUCUGCAUCCCCAGCCCUCUGCUGUGCUCUGCCUUGGCCAGGAUGCACUGGCAAGGCUGGACCAUCGCUGAAGCCAUCCUGAGCUGUACAUCUGCCUGAGUCCAGGUCCCUGAGCAGAACUGCUGAGUUUGGACUCUUCCACACUAAGGCAGAAUUCCUCAGCCCAUCUCCAUGAAAACAUGAUUAUUGUCAUUAAAUACAUACUGUGAUACACAAUGUCUGUACAGCACUCCCUGAUGAGCCCAUGCACCGAGCUUAACGACUCCUACUGUAUCUAAACACCAUACUCAGCUGUUCAGACACCACCGCAUGCUCGGCUCCCACUGCUGAUGGAGCAGCCUGAUGAUUUUCUUAAGGUCUGAGAUGAUGGUAACACCAUGAGAGUCACAAAAAGAGAUAUCUCCUCUCCCUCCCACUCUCUGCAAGGUUCAUUUCUCAAGCUGAAGAUGCUGAAGAUGGAAAACCAGCCAGAGCAACGCUACAGCCCUGGUGUUACGGAGCUGGGAUGCUACAACAGAAAUCAGAUGAACACAGUGGGCUCCCGAAGCACUGUGUUUCGAUGGACUCUAAUCUCCCACUUGUGAGACAAGACACUGCUGGGUCUGGUGGUGAUGCCGUGUGCUCCUGUGUGCCGGGAACAUGCGUGACCAUGUGCAGCCAGUGCUGUUGAGGGCUGACACCCCAUAGCACACAUCUGUGUCUAGGCUCAGCUCAGGACCAGCUAUCUCAGCCUGCCUUAUCACCCUGUGUCAGCAGGAACAUCCUCUGCAUCCUCCUCACCAGAGACCUGGCUGAG